CGUGCUGCGCUGGCCGGAAGGAAGCGGCACACUUCCGCUUGCCUGGUCCGCAUUGAGUCCGGUCUGUUCCGGAGACUCUGAGCGCGGCCGCGGAGCUGCAGUGGCGGGGAGUGGGGUGCGGAUCUUGUGUUUGCGCACGCAGUCGCCGGCCACCUCAGGCCGGAGCUAGAGAUACGGCUCGGGAUAGGAGGGCCCGGCGGCUCUGAGGCAGGUUCGCCUCGAGCCGCACGGCCCGGAGCAGCGGCUCCGCGGUGGUCCCCGGGGCUUGAGAGGGGUGCGGGCCUGGGAGCCCCUGAGGGCCUGAUUUACGGAACUCCCCCUCCUUCCUCCUUUCUGCCGUUCCCUGCUCUGUGGCGGAUGCGCAGGGAUCAGUAGGGACGGCAGCAGUAGGGCCACUCGGGCCUGCCCCGCUUCCCGCAUUGCCCGGUUUGGCGCGCCGCCUCCGGGCCUUGGCAAAGCCCCAGCGCCCGAUUGUCACUGACCAGUGCUUGGAAGUCCUUUACCGACUGCCCGUCAGCGUCCCGCGGAGAGGAUUUUGCGUCUCCAAAGACGCCCCUCUUCCGAAAACAGGCUCCUCUGUGUUCUCAGUCGGGUAUAUUUUUCUGUCUCCAAACUAGAUUGGCAGCCGUUUUUUGAGAGCAGGGAUGGCCAUCUGGGACCUCCACCCGUGAAAAGGCGGCUCAUUGGUCUGACUCCAACACUAAAUUACGCCAUCCAGGAAGCCUUUCCUAGUCACCUCUGUUGGAGAUCGUCCUCCUUUGUGUGUCGGUUGUUAGUAAAGAGCACACGUUCUGUGGAAAGAUGUUGAGGUAUCUGCUGGAUGGCUUUGAUAGAAACAAAUGUCAGCUGUUUUUUCAGAUGGCAUUUGUCUUGUUUCAGCCUGGUUGUUGGUAGCUUUUCUGUCGCCUGGCUUGAGGGCAAGGACUGUAUGUUUAUUUUUCACGUUAAGAUGCCUUUAUGUGCAUGUGUCUGUUUCAUGAAUACAUAGGUGAAUUGAGUUCCCCUUAAAUAGGAUUUCCCUCUUAUUUUAUAGGUUUUUUUUUUUCUCUCAAGUUGUUUCACUCUGGGGGAAAUGUGACCAUUGUGAAAUAUCAUCGCUUAGUUAAAAAGAAAGUAGAAUUCAGCAGUAGCUGCUUUUUUUAAUACUAUGAAAAGACAUUCCUAAGCAAGAUGAAGCUUUGAGACUUUUCCUAAGUAGGACCUACUGCUGAGAGUAAGUCUUGGGGAGAAUAAGCCAAUUAAGAAUGAGUCUUUGGUUCUGAUAAAGUAACCAUGGAGGUGAUGGAUAAUGAGUGUAGGUCCUUGCUCACACUUCUGGCCAUAUGAGCCCGGAGCCAGGGAGGUACUAUAAAAGGAAUGGGCUCCUGUAAUGGACUGUGACUGCAGUGGUGGUAUAUAGCAAGACUUCCGGUUUGCAGUAGGUUUAGAAGCCUAAAUAGUCUCCCUGGUUGUCUCUGCCAGGGCCACAAAUAGUUGUGCUGUGCAUCUCAAAAGUGUGGUCUGGGGAUCUGCAGCGUCACUGUCACCAUCACUUGGGAGGUUGUUAAGAAAUGCAUGUUAUCAGGCCCUACCCCACGCCUACUCAAUUUAGAAUCUGUAGGGCUAGGGGACCACUAAUCUUUAAGAAGUUGAUAUGGUUAGGCUUUAUGUCCACACCCAAAUCUCAUCUUGAAUUGUAAUUCCCAUAAUCCCCACCUUUCAAGGGAGAGACCAGGUGGAGGUAAUUGAAUUAUGGAGGCAGCUUCCCCCAUGCUGUUCUCAUGAUAGUGAGUUCUCACAAGAUGUGAUGGUUUUAUAAGGGGAUCUUGCCUCUUCGCUCAGCACUUCUUCCUGCCUCCUUGUGAGGAAAGUGCCUUGCUUCCCCCUUUGCCUUCUGCCAUGUUUGUAAGUUUUCUGAGGCUUCCCCAGCCAUGCUGAACUGUGAGUCAAUUAAACUUCUUUCCUUUAUAAAUUACCCAGUCUUGGGCAUUCUUUGUAGCAGUAUCCUUUAUAGCAGUAUGUAUAGCUGUAUGGACUAGUACAGAAGUUUUCCAGAUAAUUCUGUGCUCGGAAAAGUUUGGGAACCACAGCAGAACCUUGUUACUCAACAUGUGGUCUGUGGGCUGUGCAGCAUGGGCAUCACCUGGGGUCUUCUGAGAAAAGCCAGGUCUCAGGUCCUACCCAAGACCUGUGUAGCCAAAAUCUGCAUUUUAAUAUGACCCCCAGGUCAUUUAUGUGUACAUCACACUUUGAGAAGCACUGCACCAGAAAUCUUUUAACACUGUUCAUUACAUCCAUCCCAUGGAAGUAUCUUGUCUUGGGAUCCCGAGGGUGUGAGUUCUUCCGUCUUACUGGCUUUUUCCUGUCUGAUACAUGAUGUCCAUUUUAAAAAUUUUAUUUAUUUUAACUUUUUGAGGUAGAGUCUAACUUUGUCACCCAGGCUGGUGUGCAGUGGGGUGAUUUCGGCUCACUGCAACCUCCGUCUCCCGGAUUGAAACGAUUCUCCUGUCUCAGCCUCCUGAGUAGCUGGCAUCACGUGCUGGCCACCACGCCCGGUUAAUUUUUGUAUGUUUAGUAGAGACAGAGCUUCACCAUGUUGGCCAGGCUGGUCUCAAACUUCUGAUCUCAAGUCAUCCACCUGCCUUGGCCUCCCAAAGUGCUGGGAUUACAGGUGUCCUCCACUGCGCCCAGCCCAGUGUUCAUUUUUCAAUUGUUUGACUUAGUAUAAACACUCUCCAUCAUUCCUGCCUUCUGUGACAACAGACUGUGCGUGUUUCCUCUGUCUACCUUUCAGGCAUUCCUUUUAAGUUUCAUGCAGCUACUCCUCCUCCCUCCUCCCUUCUCUUUCUCUUCUUUCUUCUUUUCUUCUUUCUUCCUCUUCCUUCUUCUUCCUCUUCCUCCUGUUCUUCCUCCUCCUCCUCUCUUCUUUCUUCUUCUCCUCCCUUCUCCCUUUUUGGAAAGAGGACUUACUGUGUCAUCCAGCCUAGAGUGCAGUGGCUGAAUCAUGGCUCAGUGCAGCCUUGCUCUCAAAGGCUCAAGCAAUCCUCCCAUCUCAUCUUCCAGAAUAGCUAGGUUACAGGCAUGCACCACCAUGCCUGACUAAUUUUUUAAAAAUUUUUUUGUAAAGAUUGGGGGUGGCAGGGGGUCUCUCUGUUGCCCAGGCUGGUCUCAAACUCCUGGGCUGCAGCGAUCCUCUUGCCUCAGCCUUCCAAAUUGUUGGGAUUACAGGCAUGAGCCACCAUGCCUGGCCUCCUCUUCCUCUUAAAAAUCAAUGAUUCUGUGGCCCGUGGAUCUGAUUUCCACUGAUACUCUGAUAACUCCUGUUUUUAUGUCCAGGUGUAUCUCCUGGUCUCCAGGUGCCAUAUGUCCACUGCCUAUUGGACAUUUCCAUGUGUGUAAACACCUCAAACUCAACAUGUUAAACCUUUUUCUAAUCCCCACACUUGCGGUUCCUUCUGUGUGCUCCAUUUACCUUAUUGCUCAAAUCAAGAGCCUAGAAGCCAUCCUUGAUUCCUCUCUAUUGUGUAAUCCACACAUCCAAUCAUCCAUUGAGUCCUGUUGGCAUUUAUCUCGUAAAUACCUCAGAUCUUGUUCACUUUGCUCAUCUCUGUUGCCACCACCGUAGUCCAUUUACCUGUAUGUAAUAACCAUAGUGAUCUUACUAAAAUAUAAAUCCCUUGGAGGCGUUUUGGCUUUAUUAUAAAAAUUAAGCUCCAUGACACAGCUUGUAAGGACUGCCACGAAUCAGGCUCUGUUUCCCUCUUCAACCUCUCCUUCACUUUCUAUUCACAUAAACCUCUGUCAGAGGUUUGUCACGUGGCUUAUAAAAAGUCUUAAACCCUCUUUAAUUGACUAGGUACUCUUCAGCCUUUAGACCUCAGCUUACACGAUCUGUGCUGCCUCAUGUUUAUCCUCAUACAGUAUCCGGUUCCACAGAAUCAUGGUUUUUCUUUGUGAACAACAGAAUACCGUGGAAGUGACAGUGUGGGACUUCUGAGGCUAAGUCAUAAAAGACAUCCCAGUUUCAGCCUUAGCCUCUCUUGGAUUGCUCACUUAGCGGGGAUGCCAGCCACCAUGUAGUGAGGACACUCAAACUGCCUGUAGAGAAGGCCACGUAGGCAACAGCCUGCACCACCUUGGCAGCCAUGGGAGUGAGCCAUCUUGGAAGUAUUAGGUUGGUGGGACAUUAAAAGUAAUGGCAAAAACCAAGAUUACUUUUGCACCAACCUAAUAGAUCGGCCAGCUACAGGUCAGCCUUCAGAUGGCGGCAUAAGAGAUCUUGGGCCAGAAGUGCCCAUCUAUGCCACUCCCAAGUAUUUGACACACAGAGACUAUGAGGAUAAUAAAUGUACAUUGUUUUUUUAAGCCACUAAGUUUUGGGGGUAAUUUUGUACAAUGAUAGAUAACCAAUACAAUAUCCACCGUAUGUAUGUGUUACGAUUUAUUUAUUCCCAUCUAGUUGGACAUCUAGGUUGUUUCUAGUUUUAUGCUAUUUCAGGGAAUGCUGUAAGAACAUACUUAUAUUUAUGUAACUCUUUAGGAUGUAUUUCUGGAAACAGGGUUGUUGGAAUUCAUAUUCUUUUUUUUUUUUUUGAGACAGAGUCUCACUCUGUCGCCCAAGCUAGAGUGCAGUGGCGCAAUCUUGUCUCACUGCAACCUCUGCCUCCCAGGUUCAAGCGAUUCUCCUGCCUCAGCCUCCUGAGAAGCUUGGAUUACAGGCACCCGCCAUCAUGCCGGGCUAAUUUUUGUCUUUUUAGUAGAGAUGGGAUUUCACCAUGUUGGCUAGGCUGGUCUUGAACUCCUGACCUCAAGUGAUCCACCCGCCUCGGCCUCCCAAAGUGCUGGGAUUACAGUUGUGAGCCACCAUGCCCAGCCCUAGAACUCAUAUUCUAAAUUGUGAUAAACAUUGGUAAACUACAUUCCAAAAAGGUUAAAGAUUCUAUUGUUUUUCUCUUCCACCAGUGGGUAUUAUGACACUUAUUUCUCCAUGCCAUUGCCAACAAUUAGUUUUUAAAUCUUUGCCAAUCUUAGGUGACAAAUAAUACAUGAUUAGUGUGCAUUCUUUAUUAAUGAGGUGAAGACAAUAUAUCAGGAGUUUAUUGGCUAUUUGCAUUUCUUUUGUAUAAUUUGUCUUUUUGUGUUCUUUCACCAUCUAUUUAAUCUUGCUGUGACGGGAUUAUUUAUAGAUUAUGAGUUUUUUUUGUUUUUGUUUUCGAGACAGGGUCUUGCUCUGUUGCCCAGACUGGAGUGCAGUGGCGCCAUCUCAGCUGACUGCAGAUUCAACCUUCUGAGCUCACGAAAUCCUCCCAUCUCAACCUCCUGAGUAGCUGGGACCACAGGCUGAGCACAGGGUUGCUCCAGGUGGGCCCAAAUGCUGAAGAGCCUCAUGUUAGAGUUUUUCACCUCUGCGAUGGAACUGUGGUGGACUCCAGUAUCAUCAUUCCAGGGAGGCAUAGCCGCACCAACUGUGUUCCCAGGUUUCACAUGGAGAAGGGUUUUAGAAAGUGCAGAUAGCCUUGAAACCAUUGGUUUCCUACCACUGUUUAUUUCAGCAUAACUUUUUUUGUGUGGAAUGCUAGCUCUGGAAGAGCAGAAAUAAAUACAGCUUAAGCUUUGAACCAUAUCCUGCUGUACUUUUUCUCAUAAGCUGGAAAUAGAAUUUUCUAACACCGUUUGUGGUUGGAAAUACUGAAUUUAAAUGGGACUGCAGAUAUAAACAAAAAGAACAAGAUGUGGAUUGAUGUGCCUAUUUCAGUAAAACACAGCCACAUUAUUUCUGAAAUAUGGAUACUAAAGAUGACAAGUAGAAAAAAAAUUGGAGAUGUGCACAGUUG
rnacentral:lncRNA from 1 species